rnacentral:ncRNA from 1 species
UUAAACACGAUGAUAAGGUAAAGUAAACUGUAUGAAUCAGACAGAGAGAAGCUCCACUGGCUGAGAGGGCUUUAUGUAGGAUUAUGGUUGAAGUGCCCCUUUGAGUGUUAGGCCGAAUUUAAGUAGGCUGUUACGUGUCCUCCCGUUAAAGAGGUAAGGUAUGAUUGUACCUGAAAUGAGAUGGGCAUAUUUUGCCUAAUCAGAGUGGAACCGCGGAAGUAACCUUCUGCCUCUGUA